ACGGGAGGCAGCAGUAGGGAAUCUUCCACAAUGGGCGAAAGCCUGAUGGAGCAACGCCGCGUGAGUGAAGAAGGAUUUCGGUUCGUAAAACUCUGUUGUAAGGGAAGAACAAGUACAGUAGUAACUGGCUGUACCUUGACGGUACCUUAUUAGAAAGCCACAGCUAACUACGUGCCAGCAGCCGCGGUAAUACGUAGGUGGCAAGCGUUGUCCGGAAUUAUUGGGCGUAAAGCGCGCGCAGGUGGUUUCUUAAGUCUGAUGUGAAAGCCCACGGCUCAACCGUGGAGGGUCAUUGGAUACUGGGAGACUUGAGUGCAGAAGAGGAUAGUGGAAUUCCAAGUGUAGCGGUGAAAUGCGUAGAGAUUUGGAGGAACACCAGUGGCGAAGGCGACUAUCUGGUCUGUAACUGACACUGAGGCGCGAAAGCGUGGGGAGCAAACAGGAUUAGAUACCCUGGUAGUCCACGCCGUAAACGAUGAGUGCUAAGUGUUAGGGGGUUUCCGCCCCUUAGUGCUGCAGCUAACGCAUUAAGCACUCCGCCUGGGGAGUACGGUCGCAAGACUGAAACUCAAAGGAAUUGAC
rnacentral:rRNA from 1 species